GGGCAGGCUAGGCUGGCGGGUUAGCCCUCCGUUGCCACCGCAAACGGGCUUUAGGCGGAGUUGAAGCUGAAGAAGAGAGAUUUUCGUAACCGGACAGUCUUGGUUUUAACGAUGAAAUUCUGUCCUUAGGGGUCUAUGCUUUUGGAAACCGAGUCAGGGCAGGAAUGCAGCAGCUCUAACCGAUCGUGUGGAUGUCUUAAGGGGUGCGGAAUAGAGAAGAAACCAAGGAAAACUGUGUUGGUUACGGGAAUUCCCAUUUUUCGGCGUGCCUGCCC
rnacentral:SRP_RNA from 1 species